rnacentral:sRNA from 1 species
CGCAGCCGCGGUAAUUCCAGCUCCAAUAGCGUAUAUUAAAGUUGUUGUGGUUAAAAAGCUCGUAGUUGAACCUUGGGCCUGGCUGGCCGGUCCGCCUCACCGCGUGUACUGGUCCGGCCGGGCCUUUCCCUCUGUGGAACCCCAUGCCCUUCACUGGGUGUGGCGGGGAAACAGGACUUUUACUGUGAAAAAAUUAGAGUGCUCCAGGCAGGCCUAUGCUCGAAUACAUUAGCAUGGAAUAAUAGAAUAGGACGUGUGGUUCUAUUUUGUUGGUUCCUAGGACCGCCGUAAUGAUUAAUAGGGACAGUCGGGGGCAUCAGUAUUCAAUUGUCAGAGGUGAAAUUCUUGGAUUUAUUGAAGACUAACUACUGCGAAAGCAUUUGCCAAGGAUGUUUUCAUUAAUCAGGAACGAAAGUUAGGGGAUCGAAGACGAUCAGAUACCGUCGUAGUCUUAACCAUAAACUAUGCCGACUAG